CAUUGAAACACCAAUUCUUGUACGAUCACCGAAGUUAAACAAUGUCGAACUUGGUCAGUAACGAGAUGGGUAACCACAUGGGAAUAGCAGGUGCUGUAAG